UUUAAAAAUGUUUUAAGUUUCGGUUUACUUUCCAUUUCAACACAAACUGUGUGCUCGGAUAUUAUGUUCAUGAUUUACAUUUACACGAAUCGACAAAAUUCUUUACUAACUAAUAACAGUGCAUAACGACAACAUAAAUUUCUUCCGGAAUGAUUUUCCCAGAAGAGGAAUAUAUAAUGUUAGAAGAUUUCGAACGUUUGAUGAAAAGGCCGAAUAAAUUGCAACUUUUUCUAAAAAAUUUGUUGAUUUUUAUAGCAUCAAUUAUCUUAGAAACGGUAAUACACUUCCGAUUGAUUGGAGAGAAAGAGUUCAACAUGCAUUUGCUUUUCUUGUUCAUCUCCACUAUCCUAGAUGUUUUUCCUUUUAUUCCAUUUCUUGAACCAGAUCCUUAUAUAAGAGUGUUGAGUUUAGUUUUCAAUGUUAUGGAAUUUACUCGGUGUAUAAUUUGUAGCAAGAAUUUGUGUAAGAAUUAAAAAUGACAUACAAUCAAAGA